rnacentral:rRNA from 1 species
UACGUAGGGGCCUAGCGUUGUCCGGAUUUAUUGGGCGUAAAGAGCUCGUAGGCGGCUUGGUUAGUCAGGUGUGAAAUCUCCACGCUCAACGUGGAGGGGCCACCUGAUACUGCCAUGGCUUGAGUCCGGUAGGGAAGUGUGGAAUUCCCGGUGUAGCGGUGAAAUGCGCAGAUAUCGGGAGGAACACCCGUAGCGAAGGCGGCUCUCUGGGACGGUACUGACGCUGAGACGCGAAAGCGUGGGGAGCGAACAGG